rnacentral:rRNA from 1 species
UAUUGCACAAUGGGGGCAAGCCUGAUGCAGCCAUGCCGCGUGUGUGAAGAAGGCCUUCGGGUUGUAAAGCACUUUCAGUCAGGACGACAGGUUAGUGGUUUAUACCUGCUAGCUGUGACGUUACUGACAGAAAUAAGCACCGGCUAACUCCGUGCCAGCAGCCGCGGUAAUACGGAGGGGUGCGAGCGUUAAUCGGAAUUACUGGGCGUAAAGCGUACGCAGGCGGUUUGUUAAGCGAGAUGUGAAAGCCCCGGGCUCAACCUGGGAACUGCAUUUCGAACUGGCAAACUAGAGUGUGAUAGAGGGAGGUAGAAUUCCAGGUGUAGCGGUGAAAUGCGUAGAGAUCUGAAGGAAUACCGAUGGCGAAGGCAGCCACCUGGGUCUAACACUGACGCUCAUUACGAAA